CAGCAUCGCUGGGAAAAAUCAAUAUUAAAAUGGAAAACUUCACAGCUGAGUCCUGUGGUUCAGUCUUGACCCAAAGCAAGACGGAUCUAAAUUUAGAUUCAGCCACAAAGGCUCUGAAUGCAGACUGGAGAGACGGACUCCGGAUAAACUGAAUAUCUAAUGGAACAGACCAGAACAUCCGCCUGACCCGCAGACCGUCUCCACGUGGGUUUUUAAAGCUGCAUCUGAGGCAGUUGGUCCAGAUAUUCGAUCCAUUUCCUGUUCUCAGGAAUCUUUCUUCACGCUUCCGCCUCAAACAGUCACAGACCGAUCAGCCAGCUGCCUUUUUUCUGUCAAAGAUUUUACGGUAAAGUGUUUUUUUUCCUUUAUGAAGACUAAUGAAAUCCAGCAGGACUCGUCACUCCGCGAGCAGCAGCCACGUCUCCGCACCUCCACCACUCAUUUUAAGAUUUUUUUUGUUUUUAAAGGCCUGAAUGGAAGAAAAAACCUCCUCUUGUAAGGAAGUAAAACUUUGCCUUCUGGCCGAAGAACGGAGUCAGAUCUGAGCUGGGAGACUAAUUUGCUUCAGAUUAAACAAAAGCAGCUCAAGUUUUAUCAAAACAAACACAGAUUACAUUUUUGAAUGUGUUCAUGUCAGAUCAACUUUUUCUUCUUUCAGUUUUUGUUCUUCGUGCUCUUUGCGUGUGGAAAUCCUCUGGCAUCGUCGACGGCGAAUCAAUCUGGGUCAUCCCAGCUCAGCUCUGGAUUAAUCUGAAGGGUCGCGGGCGGCGAAGCCUCGGCGUGCGGUGACUGGGUUACUGAGAGCCACGACGACGGUCCAGGACGGAGAAGCACCGUCUCGCAGCCGUUCACUCUCAGAUUUUUGUAUUUUGAUCAUAAAAAUGAUCACAAGCCGAAGUUUUUAAACUGUAUGAGUUGGUUUUGAUGUUUCAGUAGGACUGAAUUAGACGUCGAUCUUCAUCCUCUGUCAAACCCUGAUUCAUGUUUGCUCUGUGUGUUUUCAGUCUGCCUCUCAGAGGCUGUCGUGUGAAUCCAGCGAUCUGAAGCAGGAAAACAUGUGAACAUGUGAGGCGGAGGGUCCCCGGGAUCAGGUGGAGAAACACGGCACCAGGGAUUAAAGGCAGAAAUCCACAUUCCUCCCAACAAAGCCGAGCGCGGCGCCCGGCGCUACUUCACAUGAUCCUCGCCGCUGGAGACGGUCAACAAUGACCUCUGAGGAGUGCCACGUUGAAGCGAGACGCCGCCAGGCUGCAGAGCCUGCAGCGCGAGGAGCUUAUUCCACAGGAAGCAGGAAAACGCAAACAGAAGCGCUCUGACAGAACGCCAACACAGUGAGAUGUUCAGGAUCAGCUGGAGAAUAACUGCUUCAGACUCUAAUCCAACGCACAGAAAAUGUUUGGUAAUGAAACGUCUGGAUUAAAUAAAAUGUGCAACAACCCUUCCAGGUGAGCUUCAUAUGAGGAGAGAGGCCACUGGAAACCUACCUGCAGGCACCUGAACGCACCGCCAGGCACAGCUGGGCCUGGACCGGAGGAGGGCCUGCUGGGCCCCGGCUCUCUGGCGCCCCCUUCAGGCUCCGCCUGAGCAACGCAGGCCUCGUUUCAUCUCCAGAUGGAAACGAUCCGGAUCCAGGUGGCAUCGAACGGCUGGGGGAGGCUGGAGGACCCGCCACGUUCUCCAGAUCGGAACCCUCUGGAAACCCUCUGGAAACCCGGUGGAAACCCGGUGGAAACCCGGUGGAAACCCGGUGGAAACCCUCUGGAAACCCUCUGGAAACCCUCUGGAAACCCUCUGGGAUCAGCUGAGCGGACACGUGAAGGUUCCUCACUCGGUUCUCCUGAAGCUCAGGCAGUAAAUCCACCAGCAGAGACCCGCUGAGUGAGGCUCACGAACUCAUUAGAAUGAACCCCCCCCCCCCCCCCCC